UCAAACUUGGUCAUUUAGAGGAAGUAAAAGUCGUAACAAGGUAACCGUAGGUGAACCUGCGGUUGGAUCAUUACUGAUUGCUUUUGCACUCGCUCCCUAACGGGGGUUGGAGAGCAAUUGUAUCCACCUCUUGUGAACUGUUCUGUCUCUGGCGGCGGGGCUAGUUACAACUCUGUUGUGCUAGCCUGUCAGCUUGCCUAGCCAUUACUGGCUAGGUUCAGGCCGUGGACAAACCGCCAAUGGCUUUGGCCAAUUGACUCAACUUUUGUGUAUCUACAUUCUAGUCUAAAGUGAACUUAAGUAUAGCAAUAUACAAACAACUUUUGGCAACGGAUCUCUUGGCUCUCGCAUCGAUGAAGAACGCAGC
rnacentral:misc_RNA from 1 species